rnacentral:rRNA from 1 species
UACGAAGGGGGCUAGCGUUGCUCGGAAUGACUGGGCGUAAAGGGCGCGUAGGCGGACUGUCCAGUCAGGCGUGAAAUUCCUGGGCUUAACCUGGGGGCUGCGCAUGAGACGUAGGGUCUGGAGUGCGGAAGAGGGUCGUGGAAUUCCCAGUGUAGAGGUGAAAUUCGUAGAUAUUGGGAAGAACACCGGUGGCGAAGGCGGCGGCCUAGUCCGUAACUGACGCUGAGGCGCGAAAGCGUGGGGAGCAAACAGG